rnacentral:lncRNA from 1 species
CUUUCCAAAAAUAGCAGUUUUUAAGAAAAUUAUUUAAAAAUACUAUAUACUGAUGAAAAAUUCUGAAAGAAUACUCUUCUAUCCUAAAAUGUUCUUGUUAUCCUAAUUUCUAAAUCACAAACCUAAAUCUACAGUAUUUCUCAAAAAAUUGGAAACUUUCCAAAAAUAGCAGUUUUUAAGAAAAUUAUUUAAAAAUACUAUAUACUUAAGAAAAAUUCUAAAAGAAUAAUCAUCUAUCCAAAAAUAUUUUUGUUAUCCUAAUUUCUAAAUGACAAACCCAAAUGUACAGUAUUUCUCAAAAAAUUUAUAUAUUGAUAAAUAAAUUCUGAAAGAAUACUCAUCUAUCCUAAAAUAUUCUUGUUAUCCUAAUUUCUAUAUCACAAACCCAAAUGUACAGCAUUUCUCAAAAAAUUGAAAACUUUCCAAAAAUAGCAGUUUUUAAGAAAAUUAUUUAAAAAUACUAUAUAUUGAUGAAAAAAUCUUGAAAAAUACUCAUUUAUCCACAAAUAAUUUUUUUAUCAUAAUUUCUCAAUUAGAAACUCAAAUCUAGAAUAUUACUCAAGAAAUGAAAACUUUCCAAAAAUAGCAGCCUUUAAGAAAAUUAUUAAAAAUACAAUAUAUUGAUAAAUAAAUUCUGAAAGAAUACUCAUCUAUCCACAAAUAUUUUUGUUAUCAUAAUUUGUAAAUCACAAACCCAAAUCUUUAAUAAUUCUCAAAAAAUUAAAAACUUUCCAAAAAUAGCAUUUUUUAAGAAAAUUAUUUAAAAAUACUAUAUAUUGAUGAAAAAUUCUGAAAGAAUACUCAUUUAUCCACAAAUAAUUUUGUUAUCUUAAAUUCUAAAUCACAAACUCAAAUCUAGAAUAUUACUGAAAAAAAAAUAAAAACUUUCCAAAAAUAGUAGCUUUUAAGAAUAUUAUUAAAAUACAAUAUAAUGAUAAAAAAAUUCUGAAAGAAUACUCAUCUAUCCACAAAUAUUUUUGUUAUCAUAAUUUGUAAAUCACAAACCCAAAUCUACAAUAUUACUCAAAAAAAUGAAAACUUUCCAAAAAUAGCAGCUUUUAAGAAAAUUAUUUAAAAAUACAAUAUAUUGAUGAAAAAUUCUGAAAGAAUAUUCAUCUAUCCAUAAAUAUUCUUGUUGUUCUAAUUUCUAAAUCACAAACCCAAAUCAACAAUAUUUCUCAAAAAAAUUGAAAACUUUCUAAAAAUAGUAGUUUUUAAGAAAAUUAUUUUAAAAUACAAUAUAUUGAUGAAAAUUCUGAACAAGAAAAUUGAAGACUUUCCAAAAAUAGCAGUUUUUAAGAAAAUUAUUUACAAAUACUAUAUACUGAUGAAAAAUUCUGAAAGAAUACUCAUCUAUUCUAAAAUAAUCUUGUUAUCCUAAUUUCUAAAUCACAAACCCAAAUUUAGAGUAUUUCUCAAAAAAUUGAAAACUUUCCAAAAUAGCAGUUUUUAAGAAGAUUAUUUAAAAAUACUAUAUACUGAUGAAAAAUUCUGAAAGAAUAGUCUUCUAUCGUAAAAUAUUAUUGUUAUCCUAAUUUCUAAAUCAAAAACCAAAAUCUACAGUAUUUCUUGGAAAAUUGAAAACUUUCCAAAAAUAGCAGUUUUUAAGAAAAUUAUUUUAAAAUACUAUAUACUGAUGAAAAAUUCUGAAACAAUACUCAUCUAUACUAAAAUAUUCUUGCUAUCCUAAUUUCUAAAUCACAAACCCAAAUCAUUUAUAAACAAUACUCAUCUAUCCUAAAGUUUUCAAUUUCUAAAUCACAAACCCAAAUAAUCUGUAUAUAGUAUUUUUA